CGAACAAUUCAUCGUCAUCGGUCGGUCUAUGGAUAUCGUACGGCAAAUCCGCAUAGGAUAAUUUGCCUACAAUCGUUCCGAGGUCAUCAGUCGGUAUCAGAUCUGAUAACUUACUGAUUAAAAACUCAUGACACACCUUUGACGUUCCAUCGAAGCAUAUCCUCUAAAUCGAAGUUGAACACAACCCUGACGUUGACGAAUACUAAUGAUGACAUGUCAUUAUAAUUACUCCUUUAUCCAGGUAAUUGCAUUCUUGGUCUCGAAAUCAAAGAUAGUCAGAGGAUCAGAGGCGACAGUCUUCAGGCAUGUGCAAUUUUUGGGAUGGACAAUAGAUUCAAGCAACGGCGAAACUACUUGUCAAAUUUAUUUGAAUAUAGAUGCAAC
rnacentral:misc_RNA from 1 species